rnacentral:lncRNA from 1 species
AUGUCUAGAACAAGAAACAGUGAGGGGAAUGUGCUAAACCGUGUGGCAAAACUGCCACUCGUCAGCUCAGCGCUGCAGCAGGCCUCUUCCGUCUACACGAGCGUAGUGUGGCAAAACUGCCACUCGUCAGCUCAGCGCUGCAGCAGGCCUCUUCCGUCUACACGAGCGUGAAAAGUCGUUACCCGCUGCUCGGGUUUGUGGGAGGUGUAGCAGAGCUGGGCGUCCGUAGUGCAUCCACAGCAGCCCUGAAACAAGCUAUCUGUGGCGGCGCUUCUGCAAUGAAGAGUGAGCGUUUGCGUGCUCAUGGUUGCCAGGAAGGAAGAAAAUGAAUCUAUGUAACAGCGAAGCUCCGAUUCAAGAAUUUGAACUCUUGAUAUCUGGCAACCACACUCAUGAGAGUUUGCGUAGAGGAGUGUAGAGAAGUCCGCAAUAACAUGUUCCCUUUUUUUGGACAUUCGGUGCGUUCGAUAUCUGGCAACCACACUCAUGAGAGUUUGCGUAGAGGAGUGUAGAGAAGUCCGCAAUAACAUGUUCCCUUUUUUUGGACAUUCGGUGCGUUCUUUUGGGAAAGUAUGAUUGAAUUUGAAAUAUUCAAUAUUCACAAUAUUUUCAACUUUUACAUCGUCGUCAAAAUUGCGAUAUCAUCGCUUCUAUUCAAUAUAUCGGCCAGCCCUAGUCAGCACUGUUAAUUUCAUCUUGCAACCGACAAGAAAACAUUAGUUUAUUAAUAAAUAAUUAAAAUAUCUCCUUUGUCUAUACAUUAAUAAUCAUUAGGCUACUUUUGCCUGUGCUUUGUGGCAAACUUUGUGUGCUUGAGCGUGGAAUAUAUUGAAGCUCAUUAUGGAUUAGUACACCUAUUGAUUUAAUAUAAAUGUGCAAUUAAUUGAAUAAACUAAUGGCUUAAACGAACAACUACUUAACUAGAAAAAUCUUUAGUGAGGGGCACACCUAAUAAAUACCCACAAAGCCGAUCAGCAGAGAGUUGUCUGGGCAGUUCAAAAGAUCUGAGAAGCUCCAAGCACACAGCUAGGAAAAGGUCAAGUGAACAAUGCCUUACUAUUAUAU